rnacentral:rRNA from 1 species
UACGGGGGGGGCAAGCGUUGUUCGGAAUUACUGGGCGUAAAGGGCGUGUAGGCGGCCAACUAAGUCCGGGGUGAAAGCCCCCAGCUCAACUGGGGAAGUGCCUUGGAAACUGGUCGUCUUGAGGGAGGUAGGGGCAUGUGGAACUUCGGGUGGAGCGGUGAAAUGCGUUGAUAUCCGAAGGAACGCCGGUGGCGAAAGCGACGUGCUGGAUCUCUUCUGACGCUGAGGCGCGAAAGCCAGGGUAGCGAACGGG